GGAGUAGGAACAGUGCGUUAAGUACCGGUCGGAUGGGAGGUUGCCGCCGGGCGAAGGUAUCCUCGGAUACCGCGAUACUGUUACCGCAACCGCCU
rnacentral:ncRNA from 1 species